AGACUUCAUUUCUGCUCUUACAGGGCUUACAUUUGAGUGUUUUCUCUUCAAGAACCUGGACGUUUAGUCUAGGUUGUGUCUUCCGUGAGAAAGGCUGGCGUUGGGUAAGGCUGGAGAGACUGGAGCCAAGGACUCUGCAGGCCUUGAAGAUGCAAGCUGGUAUGAUGUGAACUGCCACAUGGCAGGGAACUGCAGGUACCCUCGAGGACGUGAGGACCUCAUUCUUACAUCUGCAAGAAACCAAAUUCUGCGGACAGCUAUGUGAACUUUAAAAGAAGACCUGGAACCUCCAGAAAGGAAUGCAGCCUGGCCAAUGUGCUGAUUGCAUCCUUGUGAGACUCUGAGCCAGAGGACCCAGCUAAACUCUGCCUGGACUCCUGACCCACGGAAACUGUAAGAUAAUAAACGUGUGUUGUUUUAAGCUGCCAAAUUUGUAGUAAUUUGUUACACAGCAACGGAAAACGAAUUCAGUUGGAGAUCUGGCCACCCUCUGCUAAAUAUACAUAUUAGUGAUUUUUAGUCCUUCCAGCUUUGAGUUCCAGUAACCUUUGCUGAGCAGUUGCAUGUGUCAGCAUGGUGUUUCCAUGUUCUAGACAUGAUCUCAUUUCACAGGGACUGAGAACAGGCAUCCUGAAGGUGCUUACUAGCUUUGUGUUCUUGGGCAAGUUACUUACCCUCUCUGGGUCUUGCUUUCCUUAUCUUCAAAAUGGGGCUAAGUAGUAGCACCGGCUCAUUUGGGUUAUAUAAGGGUUAAAUGACUAGUGCAUGUAAAGAAUUUGGAAGGGUACCUGGAUGAACAGUGCUUAAAAAUGUCAGUGAUUAUAGUUAAUAUUAACAAUAUUACAUAUAUUAAUAGGACAUUGUUGCUAUUACUGUCAUCAUUAUUAAUCUAUGCAGUAGAUGGUGAGCUCUCCAUUUUACAGAUGGGAAACCGAGGGCUAA
rnacentral:lncRNA from 1 species